rnacentral:lncRNA from 1 species
GGGUCUGUGAGAACCAGCCCAUAUACAGUGGGCUAAUGGGCCAAGUCCAACGUGGCCGGCCCAUCUGGAGACCCAGAGGCGGUGAUUGCCAGCUGAGGCGGUUACAACCGCCUGACACCACUCUCCUCUCUUCCGACCAAGGACUAUAAACACUCAUGGAUUCCUCAGUGUGGGACUCAAUGGACUACCCUCUCACUACCCCUCACUCUCUCCUCCUGCUACAAAGAACUGGAUCGGGAGCGGCGGCGCUGGAGGAGGAGGUAUCUCCACCUCAACACCGUCGCCGAAUCGCCGGAAGAAACAUCACAGCGCCGUUCUAGAGCUAGGUUAGUCUUGAUUUCUUCUUCCUUGUAUCAUUCAUACUUCAUUCAAGUAGGAUCUAGUCUAGCCGUGAAACAAAAAUCAAAAAGGGGAAAAUGAAAUAGAACAGAUCGAAGAGUGAAGAGAAGGAAGAAGAUGAGGAGGAGGAAAGGGGGAGAUUCAACCUGCAGUGUUCGGCCUCUGAGCCUACAUUGACACGAUCGGCCACGGUCGUGGCCCCGACCGUUGAUGGCCGAAGAUCCUUCUCCUCCCGAUCAUCUUCUUUCCUUAUUGGCCAAACCCUAACUGAGCAUAUCUAGAUUUGGUAGCGGAGAAUAUGGCCGCCGGUGGAGGGGUUCUCCUCCCCCUCUGCUGCAACAGACUCGGAGAACUGUUGGCUCGGCCGUAGCCGCCAUUGGUCUCGGCGAGGGUUGCGGCAAGGCCGAGGGGCUCUCCUCUCUCUUGGGUGACUGGUUUCAGAGACCUUGUUCCUCAG